rnacentral:rRNA from 1 species
UACGUAGGGUGCGAGCGUUGUCCGGAAUUAUUGGGCGUAAAGGGCUCGUAGGCGGUUUGUCGCGUCGGGAGUGAAAACUCAGGGCUUAACCCUGAGCCUGCUUCCGAUACGGGCAGACUAGAGGUAUGCAGGGGAGAACGGAAUUCCUGGUGUAGCGGUGAAAUGCGCAGAUAUCAGGAGGAACACCGGUGGCGAAGGCGGUUCUCUGGGCAUUACCUGACGCUGAGACGCGAAAGCGUGGGGAGCGAACAGG